rfam:Hepatitis C virus isolate PTR9415 polyprotein gene, complete cds
GUCCCUCCUCUCCCGGGGAGGUAAAGCGGCCAUAUGCGGCCGCUACCUCUUCAACUGGGCGGUGAGGACA